UGGGGGGAGAUUGCAAAAAAAAAAAUGUGAGUCUGAAAUGAAUAUGCAAUGAUACUAGGAAAUUAUUGACAGUUUUCUUAGGUGUGAUAAUGACAGUUACAUGAUGAUAUAAGAAUAUCUGUUUUUAGGAGAUACAUGCUCAAGUAUUUAUGGGUGAAGUGUCAUGAUGUCUGCAAUACAUCUUCAAAGUGUUUUAUCAAAACGAAACACAUUUAUAUGUACAUAUAUAUGCAUAUAGAGACAUAAAGCACAGUUGGCAAAUGAUAACUUGUUGAAUAACAGUGAGGGAUAUAUAGGUGUUCAUCAGACAUGUUUCACUUGCUUUCUUUUUGGAAAUUUUUCAUAAUAAAAACUUGCAAAAAUACGUGAAGAUCAGAAAAUAAUAAUUGGACUGCGCAGCGAAGGGAAAUCUGAGAUCCUCAUCACGAGAUGGUGAGAUACUCCGGGCUUCACUCUCGCUCUCUGUGUCUGUGAAAAUGAAGGAUUGGGCAGACGUUUGUUUUUAACUUUGGCAAACUACGCAUCGCAUAACAUUUGCCAUCUUAACCAUGUUUAAGUGUACAGUUCGGGGGCAUUAAGCACAUUCCCAUUGCUGUGCAGCCAUCACCCCCAUCCAUCUCCAGGACGUUUUCAUCUUGCAAAACAGAAACGCUGUACCUAUUAAAUAACUCAUCCCUCACCCACAGCUUCUAGCAGCCACUAUUCUACUUUCUGUCUCUGUGAUGUUGACUUCUCCAGAUACCUCGUGUAAGUGGAAUAAAGUAUUUAUCUUUCUGUGAUUGGCUUAUUGUACUUAACAGAAUGUCUUCAAGGUUCAUCUGUGUUGUAGCACGUGUCAGAAUUCGCUUCCUUUUUAAGGCUGAAUAUUCCAUUGCACAGAUAUACUCUAUUUUGUUUACUUAUUCAUUUGUCGAUAGACCCUGGGUAGCCUCCUCCGCUUGGCUGUUGUGAAUACCGCUGCUGGGAAGACGGGCAUACGGGUAUCUCUUUGAGUCCCCACUUUGAUGCUUCAGGUGCACACCCAGGAGAGGAAUGGCUGGAUCUGGGUGGGGUGAUUUGUAAAGGAUUCUUUCCUGCUUUCCAAAUGAGCUUAUGACACGUGUCCUUUUAAACUGCAAACCACUCAUCUUGCAGAAAUGCGUGGACAGACCACCUUUCAAGGAUGUACCAACUGUAGUCACAAGACUGCUAUGUCCUCACCCUCUCCCCAGCUUCUACAUUCUUUUCUUCAGAGAAGGAGACCUCCCUACAUGCUCUUGGGUAGAUAAGAAACAACCGGAAGAGAAAAAUGCUCACCCUUCAGGGGACAAUGAUAAAAUGCCUCGCGAGGGCUCCCUGCGAGUAUCCAGAGAACACAGGCGCGGAAGUCACCGGGAGCUUAUGGCGCAGUAACCAGAUGCCGUGUGUUUCAUUAAUAACCAGCCUGCCACGUAAAUUAGCACAGCCCACCCGGUAGGAAUCAGGCGGACGCGCCCUGUUUGCUUGUUUGCCCUCAGCAGCUAAGGCUUCUGGACUAGCCCAUGAAAGAGAGGGCAGAGUUCCACAGCUGAAUAUUUCUGGCGAACCAACCAUCUUGUGAAGUGAAGGCACCCCAGAACCUCACACCGUGGUCUUCCACCAGGAAGCUACCCGUCCCCAUCUCGAGAUUCCUGGAGGCAGGAGCAUGGGAGGGUUGAGCUCACAGACCGAGGGAGAUAAUGCCUGUGUGGUACCCAAGAGCAAAGGGCCAAUAAAGAUUUGUUUGAAUCGAAAA